rnacentral:rRNA from 1 species
GGGGAUUAUUGGACAAUGGGCGCAAGCCUGAUCCAGCCAUGCCGCGUGGGUGAAGAAGGCCUUCGGGUUGUAAAGCCCUUUUGUUGGGGAAGAUAAGCAGCCGGCCAAUACCCGGUUGUUCUGACGGUACACAAAGAAUAAGCACCGGCUAACUUCGUGCCAGCAGCCGCGGUAAUACGAAGGGUGCAAGCGUUACUCGGAAUUACUGGGCGUAAAGGCGUCGUAGGUGGUGGUUUAAGUCCGUUGUGAAAGCCCUGGACUCAACCUGGGAACUGCAGUGGAUACUGGAUCACUAGAGUGUGGCAGAGGGUAGUGGAAUUCCCGGUGUAGCAGUGAAAUGCGUAGAGAUCGGGAGGAACACCAGUGGCGAAGGCGACUGCCUGGGCCAACACUGACACUGAGGCACGACAGCGUGGGGAGCAAACA